CGGCCGCAGGUGGAAAGUAAUUCUGCGUUUCCAUUUCUCUUUCCAGAAAAAUAACGUGGAGCAAGUGGUAAGAGCCCUCCCCACCACCCCCAGCCGUGAGUCUGCACACGUCCACCCACACGUCCACCUGUGUGUUCAGGACGCAUGUCCCUAUGCAUAUCCGCCCAUGUGCCCGGGACACAUGUCCCCUGCGUGUCUGCCCGUGUGCCCGGGAUGUGUGUCCCCCUGCGUGUCCACCUGUGUGUCUGCCCAUGUGCCUGGGACAUGUGUCCGCCUGUGCGUCCAUCCGUGUGUCCGUCUGCCCAUGUGCCUGGGUCGCAUGUCACCCUGUGUCCCAGCCGUAUGUCCGUGGCUUUCCCACUGACUCGUCUCCAUGCUUUCCCCCCACAGUGCUGCUCCUUCGAAUGCCAGCCUGCAAGAGGACCUCCGGGGCUC
rnacentral:lncRNA from 1 species